rnacentral:snRNA from 1 species
UAGAAAAUGUUAACUCUGUUAUCUUUGUCACCCCAUUGAGUCCCAAGGUCAGUUCAUCUGAUCUGACUAGCUAGGCAAGUGUCCCUUUCUUCCCUCACCAUCCAUUGUAAAUCCCUCCUUACCCAGUAGAGAGGGGAUGUUCUUUGGUCAAGGUCAUAUAAAUUACUGAAAAUUCCCUGGUAAAAACCUCUAGACAAGUUUCUAGGAUCCAUCUGAGGCACAUAGGUUAGUGACACAUCUAAGACUCCAGGCCUAUGUAAAUGAGGUACUCUAUGUGGUCUCCUUU